GGGGGGGGGGGGGGGGGGGGGGGGGGGGGGGGGGGCGGGGGGGGGGGGGGGGCGGGGGGGGGGGGCGCGGGGGGCGAGCGGGGGAGGGACGCGGGGGUAACCGGCCCUGGACUUGGGGAUAACUUCAGGAAACUGGGGCUAAUACCGGAUAGGAGCUCCUGCUGCAUGGUGGGGGGUGGAAAGUUUCGGCGGUUGGGGAUGGACUCGCGGCUUAUCAGCUUGUUGGUGGGGUAGUGGCUUACCAAGGCUUUGACGGGUAGCCGGCCUGAGAGGGUGACCGGCCACAUUGGGACUGAGAUACGGCCCAGACUCCUACGGGAGGCAGCAGUGGGGAAUAUUGCACAAUGGGCGGAAGCCUGAUGCAGCAACGCCGCGUGCGGGAUGACGGCCUUCGGGUUGGAAACCGCUUUCGCCUGUGACGAAGCGUGAGUGACGGUAAUGGGUAAAGAAGCACCGGCUAACUACGU
rnacentral:rRNA from 1 species